GGAAGUUCUACUCAAUGGCGGCGUUAUCACAAGUUGAGCUCAACAACACCAUGUAAGGCGAACCAAUAUAUGUGUGUUGUUAGCAAAGAAUAAUGAAGUGGAGCAAAGCCAACCAAUGCUCAGUGCUGUCUCCCACUGUCUGUGGGGUCAUAUUUAUACUUCUUUAUCAAGCAUCCUUUUGUGUGUUUGCUCUCUCAAAACAUCCUUUCACCUGUGUCCACGUUAGCUAAAGAUUCCUUCAUAUGUUUGCCCCAGCAAAACACCACCUAACUGACUUUCCAAAGUACCCUUAAGUUUCCACUUCAUUGCAUUCCUUGCCUGCAUGCCUUACCCCCAGAAAGGUAAGUGUUGCACAAUAUAUAUUGCAUAUAUGAUGAAUAAUAAGAGCAAAGAGGCCAGGUGAUCAGAUCCAUUUUUUUUUUUUUUUUUUUUUUUUUUUUUUUUAAUUUGAAGUGUUUUAGCCUCUUCUGGUCUCCCUUUCCUAAUCAGUGAAAGAACAUCAGAAUAUUCAACUCCAUGACCUCUCAGAAAAAGCACACUAAAACUAAAAUAUUUGGUGUGUGGACAGUGCUGCGGUUUGGAUCUGAAGUGUCCAUUGUGUGUUCAAGGCAUGAUCCCCAGGACUGUGCUAUUGAAAAAUGAUGAAACUUUUAGUAGGGACAGGGAGGCUUUUCAGUCCAAAGACAUGUGCCCUUGAAGGGGUCUGUGACACUCAAGUAGCUUUUUAUCUUUGCUCCUGGCCAUGAGGCAAACAGCUUGAUGGUGCCAUGAAUGCUGGCCACCAUGCAGUGCUUGACACAAGUCUAAGAGCAAGCGUCAUGACCGACGGAUCAUGGAGUGCAGCCUCCGUAACAGUGAACUAAAAUAAGGCUUUCAGCAAGGAGUGAUGGGUAGCACGUGCCAAUAAUCUCAGCUCUUGGCAGGAGAAUCAGGAGUACAAAGUCAUCUUUAUGCUCAUGGUGAAUUCAAGGCCAGAUCAGGCUACAGGAGACCUCAUCUCGAGUGUCCAAAUUAAUUAAUUAAAGCUUAUCUUUUCAUAGUCUGAUUAUCUCUAGUAUUGUGUUACAGUGAUGGGAAGCAGACUCAGCACACAGUCCCCUCUCUGUCUAGGCAAAAGCAGCCAGGCUGAGAGAACCAUGGAGCUCUGAAGCCAGUCCCAAGAAGAAGCAGAAGACAUAAUACAAGCAGAAGACAGGGAGAGAAUAUUCUACGCGUAUAUACACAGGCUCAAGUAUUCAUUAAAAACAUAAAAGCAUUCUUUUGAUAUCUCCCAGUAGAAAGCCAUGAACACAGGGAAAACAUUCAUAAAAUAACUUUAGGUUGUAAAAUGUAGCAAGUCUGUGGUGGAAAAGCAGCUUCAAAACACAACUGGUGUGUGGGGUUUCCAUUUCUCAGAAAGCCAGCAGUCGUGUUAUGAAAGGUAGGUCAUUCCACUUUGCUUCUCAGCAAAGUUGAGCACCUGCUCGGGAGAGGGGCUACAGAAAGCCCUGCCUGGCGCCCUGCUUGCAGAAGGCAGCAGGGGAAACUGAGCACCUUGGCACUGCAGACUCCCUAAGAAGCUCUUGUAACUCUGGUUAGGGGGUGGCAGUGCAGAUGUCCAGUGCUGUCCUGUUCCAUUUGGUGGUGAGAAACUAGGUGUGAAACAGAUAACAGAAAUCUGCCCAAAUCCAGAACUAGAAACAGUAGAGUUAAGAAUCCAAGCAUGGUCACCCAAGCCUAAAAUGGCCCGUUUAGCCAUUAUUCUAUUGGGCAUCAGGCCAGCUCCACUAACAAGUGACGAUCGAUCGAUCAAUCAAUCGAUCGAUCUCUUUUCAGCUCUGCAGAGGACUGAUAAUGGGAAGAGAAAGCCCCGACUGGCAUCACCCUGGGUUCAAGCAGCCAAAGGCAUGAAAAGUUUGACCUUGGCCUUUUAUUUCUUAGAACAGUUUAGGCUAAUCCCUACGGGUAUGCUGCUGCCAAGUUGGUUCUUUUACUGUGCUCAUCAGAAGUGCCAGAAAAAUACCCGCACCCGCCCCCCAUUUAGCCUCUGGAAGAAGAUGUUCUAAAGGGCUCACAAACAUCCAGAUGUAGCUCUUACCAAGCUCCAGCGUCAGAAGGAGUGCCUCAGCGUCUAAGUCCGUAUAUACACACACGGCUUUUCAUGCAUCCUCUGCUGGGGAGGUCACAAUCUGAGGCACCCUUUAAAGCCACUUCUGGGAGAAAAGAAAGAGAAAAAAAAAAAUCAACCACUGAACGUCUAGUGAGCUGUUUCCUAAGGAGGCAUCAACAAACUCCUACCAGCCCCAGUCCUCAGUAACGUCAUGAGAUGGGCUGCUUGUGGUUGUCAAAACUGAUCUUCCCACUGCGGGUGAACACGUACGGCGGAUUGUUAUGGCUUAGGGCGCUUGACUGCACCGCUGUGAAAAUAUUCAGCAGAAUUCCACAAGCUCUUUGUUUGCCUUGCCUUAGUGGAAAUUCCUCCAGCUAUCCAAACACGCACCUGGGGGAGGUGUUUUUUUUUUCCCCCUCCACAUUUCAGGAAGGGGUUUCUUCUAAGUAAAAAUGUGUCCUUACCUCUCUUCUAAGUUCUCAGGCAAGACUUCUGGUUUGAGUUGAAGAUGACUAUGAAUGUGUUCUGGUUGGAAAGGGAGGUGGAGUUGGAGGAGCCGGAGAGGUCUGUAGCAAAUGUUCCUCCAACAGAGCUAAGCUGGGAAAAGGAAAGCCAAUGGAAGCCAACAAAGAAGGAAGCACGAAGCAAGGCUCCCCCAGAUUCCUAGAAGCCCAGGAACACAAAAGCCAGGAAGAUGAAUCGUCUUUUACAGUAGUAGACCUGUAUAUAGGAACGGGGAAGAUUCUAGGGUGAAAGAUCCGGGCUGCCGCUGGUCACCCAGAAGGGAGUAUGUACCUUGAGUUUCGUAACACGGAAUGGAAGUUUGGAGGCCCCUUGAAAAGAACCAAAGCACAAAGGAAGUUGGGCCUGAAGAAGGCUGGGAGACCUCUCACGCAGAGACCCAGGGCUCAGGACAGAGAAAGGAAGGUAGAACGCCAAGUGGAUCUCAUAUUUGCUCUGCGGGCUUCUGGGAAGUGUUUGAAAACAUUCUAUUUAAACUGUGCCUCUUAAGAGAGCUCUCCACUUACAUCUAACUCAGUGUGCUCAUAUUAGCAAAUAGAAAUUAUGGGAACAUUCCAAGUGCUCCCCGCCUUCCUGGUCCUCCCUCCCUGACCCCGAUAGUCUGUCCUGCCUGGAGUCUGGGCGAAUGUUUGUUUCUGAGGGAUGGAAACUGAUUAAAAACUAGAAGGCUGCUUGGGAAAAAUUUUAUAAUAGCAUGUGUGAGGUGAGUUCCACAGAAGGCUAGGGAGGGCAGGAAGGCCCCGUGCAGCCAGGGCUCCAUGCAGGCCAUCUGAAAAAAGAGGCUCCUCUUCCAACCCAGAGCUGUUGUCUUAAUUGUGGUGGAACUGCUUUUCAUAUUCCCUUAGCUUUUUAACACUAAACCAAGAUGAGAAAUUGAGAAAUGAACAUUUGUUUGGUUUUUUUUCUUUUUUUCUUUUUUUUUUUUUUUUUGAGACAGGGUUUCUCUGUGUAGCCCUGGCUGUCCUGAACUCACUCUGUAGACCAGGCUGACCUCGAACUCAGAAAUCCACCUGCCUCUGCCCCCCAAUUAAAGGCGUGCGCCACCACUGCCCGGCUUGAACAUUUGUUUUCAAGCACAUAAGGCUGAUGUGUUCAGGUAGUACGUUUAAUACUCGAUUGGUGGCAUAUAUAUAUUAAAAGGGAUGUUAAAUUGCUCAAUCUUUCCUGGCUGUUCAUUUUGGACAGUCAACAGUUCAUGCCAUGGAAAGCAGGAGCUUUCUGCCUGGCACAGAAUGAAAGCAAAACUAAUACCUUUAUCAAUAAUGUGGAGAAGGCUCUGAGGGUCGUAAAAGCUAUGGGAAAGGGUGGAACCUAGAGAAUGUCUGUCAUUCAUAGGCUGUGGCUUACAGGAUGCUAUUGGCUAGAGCUCAUAAAGAAACUUUAUCCACUAUGAUGUAAAUUAUAAAUUAAACAUAGAC
ensembl:lincRNA 4930556M19Rik RIKEN cDNA 4930556M19 gene